UUGUAAGUGUUUGAGGGCGUUCGGUGGAUGCCUUGGCACCAGGGGCCGAUGAAGGACGUGGUAGGCCGCGAUAGUCCUCGGGGAGUUGUCAAACGAGCUGUGAUCCGAGGGUGUCCGAAUGGGGAAACCCAGCACGAGUGAUGUCGUGUUACCACCAGCUGAAUGUAUAGGCUGUGUGGGGGGAACGUGGGGAAGUGAAACAUCUCAGUACCCAUAGGAAGAGAAAACAAUUGUGAUUCCGUGAGUAGUGGCGAGCGAAAGCGGAGGAUGGCUAAACCAUGCGCAUGUGAUACCGGGUAGGGGUUGUGUGUGUGGUGUUGUGGGGUCUGUCUUCCUCGAUCUACCUGUCGGGGCGUGAGUGAGAAAACCAUGCGUUAGGUGAAGUGGCCUGGAAUGGUCUGCCGUAGGCGGUGAGAGUCCGGUAGCUGAAAGCGUGUGGUCUUGCGUGAUGGUGUCCCCAAGUAGCAGCGGGCUCGUGGAAUCUGCUGUGAAUCUGCCGGGACCACCCGGUAAGCCUGAAUACUUCCUGGUGACCGAUAGCGGACUAGUACCGUGAGGGAAAGGUGAAAAGUACCCCGGGAGGGGAGUGAAAGAGUACCUGAAACCGGACGCUUACAAUCCGUCAAAGCCUUUGAGUCGUUUGGUCGGCUGGGGGUGAUGGCGUGCCUUUUGAAGAAUGAGCCUGCGAGUUAGUGCUCGGUGGCGAGGUUAACCCGUGUGGGGUAGCCGUAGCGAAAGCGAGUCUGAAUAGGGCGUGUUGAGUCGCCGGGUCUAGACCCGAAGCGGAGUGAUCUACCCAUGGCCAGGGUGAAGCGCGGGUAAGACCGCGUGGAGGCCCGAACCCACUUCAGUUGAAAAUGGAGGGGAUGAGUUGUGGGUAGGGGUGAAAGGCCAAUCAAACUCCGUGAUAGCUGGUUCUCCCCGAAAUGCAUUUAGGUGCAGCGUGGUGUGUUUCUUGCCGGAGGUAGAGCUACUGGAUGGCCGAUGGGCCCUACUAGGUUACUGACGUCAGCCAAACUCCGAAUGCCGGUAAGUGAGAGCACUGCAGUGAGACUGCGGGCGAUAAGGUUCGUAGUCGAGAGGGAAACAGCCCAGAUCGCCGGCUAAGGCCCCUAAGCGUGUACUAAGUGGAAAAGGAUGUGGGGUUGCACAGACAACUAGGAUGUUGGCUUAGAAGCAGCCACCAUUUAAAGAGUGCGUAAUAGCUCACUAGUCGAGUGACCCUGCGCCGAAAAUGUACCGGGGCUCAAGUACACCGCCGAAGCCGCGGCACUCACACAAUAAUCUGGCUUGCCCUUACGGGGGUGUGUCUAGGUGUGUGGGUGGGUAGGGGAGCGUCCUGCAUCCGUGGAAGCGCCGGAGUGAUCUAGGUGUGGAGGGUGUGGGAGUGAGAAUGCAGGCAUGAGUAGCGAAAGCAGAGUGAGAAACUCUGCCGCCGGAUGACCAAGGGUUCCUGGGCCAGGCUAAUCCGCCCAGGGUUAGUCGGGACCUAAGCCGAGGCCGACAGGCGUAGGCGAUGGAUAACAGGUUGAUAUUCCUGUACCCGUGUAUCCGCGCCCAUGCUGAAUCAUCUGUACUAACCAUCCAAAUCCCAAUGGACUGCCUUCGGGUAGCCGGCGGGGGCUGCAUGGGACCUCGGGUGGUAGUAGGCAAGCGAUGGGGUGACGCAGGAAGGUAGUGGGGCCAGGCGAUGGUUGUCCUGGUGUAAGCCUGUAGGACGAGGCAUUGGUAAAUCCGUGCUUCAGGUGUCUGAGAGGUGAUGCGUAACCGUUGUGGUGAAUUCCAUGAUCCUAUGCUGCCGAGAAAAGCUUCUAGUGAGUUGGUACACGGCCCGUACCGCAAACCGACACAGGUAGUCGAGGAGAGAAUCCUAAGGUGAGCGAGAGAACUCUCGUUAAGGAACUCGGCAAAAUGACCCCGUAACUUCGGGAGAAGGGGGACCCAUUCUGGUGACGACAUUGACUGUUUGAGCUGGUGUGGGUCGCAGAGACCAGAGAGAAGCGACUGUUUAUCAAAAACACAGGUCUCUGCAAAAUCGUAAGAUGAAGUAUAGGGGCUGACGCCUGCCCGGUGCUGGAAGGUUAAGAGGACCGGUUAAUGCCCUUCGGGUGUGAAGCUGAGAAUUGAAGCCCCAGUAAACGGCGGCCGUAACUAUAACGGUCCUAAGGUAGCGAAAUUCCUUGUCGGGUAAGUUCCGACCCGCACGAAAGGCGUAACGACUUCUCUGCUGUCUCAACCACAGACUCGGCGAAAUUGCAGUACGAGUAAAGAUGCUCGUUACGCGCGGCAGGACGAAAAGACCCCGGGACCUUCACUAUAGCUUGGUAUUGGUGUUCGGUUCGGUUUGUGUAGGAUAGGUGGGAGACUGUGAAGUGGCCACGCCAGUGGUUGUGGAGUCGUUGUUGAAAUACCACUCUGAUCGUAUUGGACUUCUAACCUCGGACCCUGAUCGGGUUCAGGGACAGUGCCUGGUGGGUAGUUUGACUGGGGCGGUCGCCUCCUAAAAGGUAACGGAGGCGCCCAAAGGUUCCCUCAGCCUGGUUGGCAAUCAGGUGGUGAGUGUAAGUGCACAAGGGAGCUUGACUGCGAGACCAACAAGUCGAGCAGGGACGAAAGUCGGGCUUAGUGAUCCGGCACCAACGUGUGGAAGUGGUGUCGCUCAACGGAUAAAAGCUACCCUGGGGAUAACAGGCUUAUCUCCCCCAAGAGUCCACAUCGACGGGGAGGUUUGGCACCUCGAUGUCGGCUCGUCGCAUCCUGGGGCUGUAGUCGGUCCCAAGGGUUGGGCUGUUCGCCCAUUAAAGCGGCACGCGAGCUGGGUUCAGAACGUCGUGAGACAGUUCGGUCCCUAUCCGUCGCGGGCGUUGGAAAUUUGAGAGGAGCUGUCCUUAGUACGAGAGGACCGGGAUGGACUUACCGCUGGUGUACCAGUUGUUCUGCCAAGGGCAUUGCUGGGUAGCUAUGUAGGGAAGGGAUAAACGCUGAAAGCAUCUAAGCGGGAAGCCUGUUCCAAGAUGAGGUUUCUCACCACCAUUGAGUGGUUAAGGCCCCCACAGACCAUGGGGUUGAUAGGCCAGAACUGGAAGCCCAGUAAUGGGUGUAGGUGACUGGUACUAAUCGGCCGAGGACUUACAACA
rnacentral:rRNA from 1 species